rnacentral:pre_miRNA from 1 species
GGCACUGCCUCCGGUGAGUGAGGGUGUGGCUCCCCCCGCCUCACACCUAUUGGUUCCCUGACCCUCUGCGCCCACCCUCAGGAGCU